GGAUGGUAGUCAAGCCCUCGACCGUCUCGGAGAAGUGAGAGAGCAGCGGCAGCUGUGUGGUGUCAUCGAGCUGCUAACACGAGGGUCACCUGGAGGCCACCCGGAAAUACUUCUGGAUGAAGUAGCAGGCGAUGGCCAGGGGGACGAAGGCGAUGAGGAAGACGGGCGUGACGUAGGAGAUGACGCCCAGGGCGGAGACGCACAGCAGGGUGGAGCGGCUCAGGCACUCCAGGGUGGCAGGGAUGUGCUGAAACCCAGCGAGUGCAGUUGUGCCCGACAGCCUCGAUCUUGGCAGUGAUGACGUGGGAGGUCCAGUGAGCCAGCCAGUAGUCAAUGGCCACCAUCAGCGAGUGCUUGACCAGCUGGGAGAGGAGCAGCAGCAGCAGCAGCAGCAGGCCGGCCGAGGUCAGCCUCUGUUUGGUCGACACGGCGAAUGUGAAGAAACCUGGAGGACGACGAUGGAGAUGCAACGAGAGGCCUCCACUCACCAGGAAAACGACGUUCGUCUGCUGGUAGAUCGCUCGGGCUACGCUGAUGCGCUGACGCUGCCCUCCAGAGAGAAUGAUCCCCUGAUGGACAGAAGGAGAGACUGAGCGACAAACCAGCUCAAACAUCACCGGUUGCACCAGUGUUGCUGCUUUAAAUGGGGUGGAAGGAUGACAGCGUGAAUGAGGGCGAGUCUUCACUGUCAUCGCCCGUUGUUUGAUAUCAGCUUUUGAUGAAUGAAAAAAAAUGCUCUAACAUGAUUAGAAAUGUGUCUAUACAUGGACAUGAGGAUGACACCAUUGGGUAAUGGUUUGUUAAUCAUCCACCUUCACAUGAUGUCAAAGGGCUGCCCCGAGGCCAUGUCCUGCCCUCACCCCCAUCUCUCACACUGGGUUGGUGCUGAAUUUAUUCUUUUUUAAUGAUGUUACCUAAUCGUUAGAUAGUUCCACAUAUUAUGAACAGAUACAGGCAGCAGCUACACAGGAUAGUCUGACAGACAAAUAAAUAAUCCACAUAAUGGAGGGUAUUGUGAAGGCAUCUUUAUAUAUUUGUAAACGUUUAAGCAGUUUACUUUGACUUUCCACUUAUCUUGUGACGUUCGCAGUGUUUGCAGUGGGAUUAUGAGCGUGUACACAUGAGUGAGCGUACGCAUAUGGAAUUGGAUGGCUUGUCGCUGAAUGAAAACUGACCCGUUCUCCAAU